AGUGCAACUAGAGUAAUGUUUGUUGUAAACGGCGGCGUUAACGUGAGCGUCCUAAGGUAGCGCGAUAAUUUGCUUUUCAAUUGAAGGAUGGUAUGAAAGGGUUAACGAAGAAGGUGCUGUGUCUAAAAAUUUAAUUUAAACUAACUUUAAGGUGAAGAGGCCUUUAUGUAAAAGAAGGCCCUAUGAAGCUUUAUCUUAAUUGGAGCUUUCAGGCUCUUAUACGAUUUUGAUGGGAGAUCAGUAGAAAUAAGUCUUCUACUAUUAUAUUAAUCUUACUAGUAUUUCCUAACUUUAUAUGUGUGGCUAGCUACUCUAGGGAUAACAGCGCAAUUUCUCCCGAAAGAUGGUAUUGGAGGGGAAGAUUGCGACCUCGAUGUUGGCUUUAGAUACCCUAGAGGCGUAGAAGCUUCCGAUGGUGGGUCUGUUCGCCC
rnacentral:rRNA from 1 species